UGCCUUUGAGAUUAGUCUUUAAAAAGCGUUGCUGGGAGUAUCUGGAUGAUGUGGAAGCAGAAGUUGGGGAGUAUUGAGCCUGGGAUAUAAGGUCUAUAAAGUUAAAAAUGUUAAAUUAUAUCUCUGGUUGCAAUGGAUAAACCUAGAUUAUUUUGAUUUUUUAUUUUUUUGAGAGUGGGGGCCUCACUCUGUUGCCCAGGCUGGAGUGCAGUGGCACGAUCGUAGCUCACUAUAACCUCAAAUUCCUGUAUCUAGAUUUAAUUCAUAAAAUUUAGGGCUUAAAAUUGGCAUCUAACUCAGCUUAUUUUUCAGCUUCAUCAAUUUUGAGCAAAUGUGUCAAAACUUGGAGAGAGUUUUUUGCCCAAUAGUCGCAUGACCAAGUAAAAGUGAAGGAGGUGACAAGAGACUUGGACUGUGGUAGGUAGAAGCGGAUAGACUGAGAGCUACUUAAAUUAGUAGGAGUUGAGAAUUAACCAGAUUUGCAGGGUGACAAAGAAUAGCUCCCAAAUUUCUGGCUUAAGCAACUGGAUAUUUGGCACUACCAUUUGCUGAAAGAGCAUCUCCCCCACCCCAAAAGUAGGAAGGGAGAAGGAUAGGAAGACGGGUUCCAUUCCUGUUGAACUUGUGAGCCUGAGACACGUGAACGUAGACAUUAUUCACUGGACAUAUGGGUCACUGGAUAUAGGGGUCUACAGCUCAGAGGAGAGUUUUGAGCUGCAGAUGUAGACUUAGCAAACAAUGAUUAAAGCUGUGGGAAAUAUGCAAUUAUUUGGAGACAAUGUGAGGUGAGAGAAGAAGGGGCCAGAAAGAUCCCUGAACAACUUCAGUGUUUAGAGGUUGGAUACAGUAGGAGGAACUAGAAAAGGAGGAGAUAGAAAAAGCAGCCAGAGGAAGAGGAAAACCACAAGGAGCAGUGCCAGGAGAAUAAUUAGGAGAAGGGUGUGGUCAGCUGUUUCAAAUGCUGCUGAGACAUGAAAUCAGUGAGAACUCAGUGUCCUUUGGACUUGGAGACAGAAGUGAAGGUGAUCUUGGCAAGAGCAACUGCAAUGAAAUGGUGGUAAGAAAAAUCAGAUUGCUGGUGGUGGUGCAGAGACCUAUUCUUGGCCCCCAAUUGCAAAUCUCUCCUCUCUUCUUAGAAAUAGACCUCACAUUUUUUGUUCACGGCAUCCUAGAAUAAAAACUACAUUUCACAGUCUCCUUUGUGUGGUCUUGGGGCUAAGUGCUGGCCAAUGGAAUGUACGCAGAAGUGUCACAAGUGACUUCCAGGAAGCAUUCUUCAAGCUUCAAGGGAGGGGUGGGCCCUUUUUGUUGCCUUCCUCCUUCCUAUUGGCCAGAAAGCGUAAGCAUCAUAUUGGACCAUGAGGUAGUGAGGAACAUUUGGAAGCCACAAGUUGAGAAUGGCAAAACCUGAGAGAAAUUAAGUGAGGUGAAUCACGAAAGUGAGUAUAGGCAGCUCUUUUAAGAAGUCUGACUGGGAAGAGAAAGACCAGCAGCAGGGGAAGGAAUAUGUUGUCAAGGCAGUGGGGGCGGGGGGAGCUAUUUUACAGUGGAUUUUAUGAUCCUGGCACAUACAUGAUCAAUAAGUAAUUGUUGGUUGCAAGAUUAGAGGGAUGCAUGGAUGGGAAAUCCAAGUAUGUAGAAAAGAAGCAGCUAGUUCAAGGCCCCUGAGAAGGUAGCAGCAGAUGGGCCCUUUACAUAGGGAUUGCCCUGGGGAAGAAAAGGGACAUCCUUUCCAUGUUCACAGGAGGGAAGGAGAAGCAGCAGAGUACAGAUGUAGGUAGGCUGGGAGACAGGGAGAAGAUGGCAUUCCUGUCUGAGGGUUUCUAAUUUCUCUGUGAAGUGGGAGAUGAAAGGAUGAGGUGUUGGGGGGAGCGUAUGAAGAUCUGAGGAGACAAGGCAGAUUUAAAACAGUUGCUGCAGAGAGGAGGAGACAGCGAGCUGACCCAACCCUCAGCUCCAGUGGAGAAGCAGGGCUUCAUCUUCUGGACACCAGCACAUCUUAGAUUGUGCCUUCCUUGUCAACACCAAGGCAAGCUGAGCCAGGAGGAUAGUGGAAGGUCACACAGGUAGAAAACCUGCUGACCAAACUGCCCCUGGUAAGAGUUACUUGGGAAGCUGAACCAAAGAUUUUUGCUGCUAUGUUGACUCACAGUAGAAUGUGAGCAGACAAGACACUGUAGAUGAGCCACUCCUGAGGAGCUCUGUUAAAUAUAGAUAAAGUGGAGGAGGGAGUCAGGCUGGCUGCCUUCCUAUUUAGGAUCUAGCAGAAACCCCAUUAGGAAAUAUUCCGUUCUGAAUGGCUUCUGGCUAAAUGGCUUGUGAGGAAACAGCCUGAUCAAUGGUAAGUACGACUGAAGACCCAGUGCUAUGGACUGAAUUGUGUCUUCCUCAGAUUCAUAUGUUGAAACCCUAACCAGCAAUGUGACAGUAUCUAGAGAUAGGAUCUUUAGGAGGUAAUUAAGAUUAAAAUGAGGAUAUAAGGGUGAGGCUCUAUUGCAAUAGACUGUGGCCUUAUAGGAAGAGGGAGAGAGAGAGACCUUUCUUUUUCUCCCUCUCUCCCAUGUGAGGACAGUGAGAAGGCAGCCACCUGCAAGCCAGGAAGCAUGCCCUCAGCCAGAAGCAGACCACACUGGCACCCUGAUCUCAGACUUCUGGCUUCCAGAACUGUGAGAAAUAUACUUUCUGUUGUUUAAGCUGUGCAGCCUAUCAUAUUUUGUUAUGGCAGCCUGAGCAGACUAAGACACCCAGUGUCUCUGGGGUGAGAGGUAGGGUAGGGGUGUCCUCUCACUUCUAAACCACUUCCCUGGAGAGGAAGGCAGGAGGAGGGUGCCCAGCUGGGAGCCACGGAGGGAAGCCUGGCUCUGGCCACACAACACAAGCUUUAGCAACUUCGUGGGACCCUGGAAUAUAACAGGGAUUCCCUACUGUAGGAGGCUUGGUGGAACUACUUCAGCCUGGGAAACAGAGAGAAUCUACUUUUUAACUGGGAAUCUGGCAGAAGCUAAAAGGAACUUAAGACAUUUCUCAACAAUCUCACACCUGAAAGAUGGCUUAGCAAAUUCCAGCUGUCACUGUCUGCCCAUCCUUCUCCUGCAGCACCAGACCUAAUACAUUUUGGGUUCGAUCCCUUAAUAUGUGUAAGCAUUUACACUGCAAGUAAGAGGAAAUUCUCGCUGGAAUGACCAGGCCAAGAAAAGAAAAAUGGAAACGACCUAAAAUGCCUAACAAUGGAAAUGAGUUGAAUCCAUCUGGCUCAUAGACAUGACGAAAUACUGAAUGGCCACCAUAAAUGGACAUAUGUUUAUUGAUGAGGAAAGAUCUUUAUAACAUAUUGUCAAGUGAACAAAAAAGCAUGCUAUAAAAAAAGGUCAUGCAGAAUAAUCUUAUUUUGUAAAAAAAAAAAAAGUGUGUAUUAGUCCA
rnacentral:lncRNA from 1 species